CCGGAAAUAAUUUUUUUACCAUAUUAUCUAGGAGAGAGUAGGACCUAACCACAUUUUUAUAACUACUAUUGUGCAUCCGAGAGUGCUGACAUUAUUAAAUUCAUUAUCAAAUCGAGCAAGUCAUCAGCCAUGAACAGAACUGAGUGUGAACAGGGCUUGGAGGAAAUAAGUGUCUCUACCUCUACAUCCUCCCACCUUACAAUUUCCUAUUCAUGCUUUCCAUCCCCCUGACUCCCAUCAUUGGCCAAAUCCAUUCAGAAGAGGUUAGAUGAGGAAACUAAGGUUCAGAGAGGUAAAUGAAUUUGCCCAGUAUCACCCAGCUAAUGAAUGUCAGUUCUGAUAUUUGAAUCCCACAGACCGACUCCAAAUACCAUGAUCUCAUUUAUUACUUUACAUGUACAACUGAUGGCUAUGCCAAAUAUGAAUUGUUAUAAUUUUUAAUAAAAGUUAAUGAAGGCUAAAGAUGUGUAUUUUUAUCACAUAUUCUACUAUUGAAAAAAUUGCUUAUCUUAUGGCAGGCAAUCAAUUUUAUUUUCAAGCAUUUUUUUUUUAAAUCUGGAUAACAGCCUCUCCCUUUGAAAUCUAAAGAUCAAAUAAAUAUCUCAAUAUAUCCCUUAACUUGAGUGGGGCUGGAAGCCCCAGGGGAAAAUCCCUGAUCUAGCCCUUUCUCUCUAUUAAGUGGACAACAUCCUUAAGUAUACUAACACCCUUUGCCCUCAAAGGGGGGCAAGAGGAAUGAGGAUCCCAAAUGAUGCCUCCUUGGCCUGAUUCUUGUGCUUAUCUCUGAGUGGUAGUCCCAGCGAGGGCCUCAGCUCUGUCUCUGACACAACCUGUGGUCUCGGGGCCCUUCUGUUCCUCAUCCACUCCUGAACAAACUGUCCUCCCCACAAACCCCAAGACCAGCCCAGGACAGGUCUUGUGGAAACAGUCUGGUAACCUCACAGGGCUCUGCAGCCGUUUCAAGGAGGUUCUUUAGCACCCUCUGGUGGCUACUGCCAGAAAUACCAUGUUCAAAUUGAAGAGGGCAGUGAGGGCGGUGACAUUAACGUUGGACCGGAUUCCCUGCUUCCUUUUCCAUUCAGUCAGACCCUGAAGAGUGUCUCCCAGGGAUUGCGGACAAGGAAAUCAGGUGAUUCUUUUCUAUCGGUGCCCAGACUCGGGACUCCACGGUCUUCACUCUUAAAGUACGGCCUCCCAACCAGCAACAUUGGAGAAUCGGAAUCAGAACCUACAUUUCAACAAGAAACAGUGAUUUAUAUGCAACUAACACUGAGAAGCUUUUUUCCCUUAUAUUUUGUCUUUUACAUUUCUCCCUACCUCCUCACUGCCAAAAGACAAUAUACAAUCAAUUUUCACAGGAGCAACUUCAAUGAAUUCCGGUUUGGAAAUAUCCAGCAGAUCUUUUUUUUUUUUUUUUUAAUGAAAGCAUCUCCCCACAUUCGCCCACCUAAGAUAACUCAGAGGCAGAUGCACUUUUCACUGAAGUUAAUGAGAAUCUGAAAACUGCAAUUGCAAUGAGGUUGUAAACUGGGGUUAGCAGGAUUCAUGUUGCCGCAAUUCAUCUAACCUAGAUUUAAGUCUCUGGAGUUAUUAUUUUUUCCCUCUUUGUUAAAAGCAAACAUUUUUACAACCUCCUUAUUUGUAUACUGUUUUUAUUAUCCCACUACCCUUAUGAAAUUAAUGAAAGAGAGACUUUUUUCUAAGUACUUCUUACGGAGACUCUUGAAUGUGGACCUGCUGAUUCCUCAGGGAGCCCACCCAGCCACUUGGGCCAUGUCCCCCCGACUCGUGGUGCACAUGUGAAAGGCAGGUAGGGCAGUUCCACUUUCUACAAAGGCCUGUGAUUCCUGGAAACUCUGGCCAAUUCUAAAUCCCACUGACUGGAAGGGAACUUGAAGUCUCCUCCAAGUCUCUUUUUUCACAAAGUAAAGAACGAAGGUAUUUUCCUAGCAAAAGCUAAAAUUCCAAGGAAGAUAAAAAUUGAGGAAGUAUCCCAACUCUUUGUUGGCACCCUCCAUUGUCCACGUGCUCUGGCUUUGCACCCCGGAGUUUCCUCAAAACAGAACUGCAACCUCAGUGUGGACCUGGGACUAGUAAGAUCAUCCAGCCCAUUUAAUGACUGGCAAGACAAGGAGAAUGAUGUCUAGCAGGAUCCCACUUCAUCCUGUCCAUUUCUGAGACAGAAAUACUAAAAGGAAGUGAGUCUAGGAGAAACCUGGU
rnacentral:lncRNA from 1 species